GACGAACGCUGGCGGCGUGCUUAACACAUGCAAGUCGAGCGGUAAGGCCCUUUCGGGGGUACACGAGCGGCGAACGGGUGAGUAACACGUGGGUGACCUGCCCUCAGCUCUGGGAUAAGCCUGGGAAACCGGGUCUAAUACCGGAUAUGACUCCAUGACGCAUGUUGUGGGGUGAAAGCCUUGUGCGGCUGAGGAUGGGCCCGNGGCCCUAUCAGCUUGUUGGUGGGGUGAUGGCCUACCAAGGCGACGACGGGUAGCCGGCCUGAGAGGGCGACCGGCCACACUGGGACUGAGACACGGCCCAGACUCCUACGGGAGGCAGCAGUGGGGAAUCUUGCGCAAUGGGCGAAAGCCUGACGCAGCGACGUCGCGUGAGGGAUGACGGCCUGG
rnacentral:rRNA from 1 species